rnacentral:rRNA from 1 species
AACGAACGCUGGCGGCAUGCCUAACACAUGCAAGUCGAACGACACCACCGGGUCUAGUGGCUCUUGGGUGUGUAACGCGUGGGAACCUGCCCUUAGGCUCGGAAUACCUCUCUUACAGGGGUGCUAAUACCGGAAAAUGUCCUCGGACCCAAGAUUUAUCGCCUUUGGAUGGGCCCGCGUUGGUUUAGCUUGUUGGUAUGGUAAAAGCCUAUCAAGGCGACGAUCCAGAGCUGGUCAGAGAGGAUGAGCAGCCACACUGGGACUGAGACGCGGCCCAGACUCCUACGGGAGGCAGCAGUGGGGAAUAUUGGACAAUGGGCGAAAGCCUGAUCCAGCAAUGCCGCGUGAGUGAUGAAGGCCUUAGGGUUGUAAAGCUCUUUUACCCGGGAUGAUAAUGACAGUACCGGGAGAAUAAGCUCCGGCUAACUCCGUG